rnacentral:rRNA from 1 species
GAUGCAGCGAUGCCGCGUGAGUGAAGAAGGCCUUUGGGUUGUAAAGCUCUUUCGUCGGGGAAGAAAAUGACUGUACCCGAAUAAGAAGGUCCGGCUAACUUCGUGCCAGCAGCCGCGGUAAUACGAAGGGACCUAGCGUAGUUCGGAAUUACUGGGCUUAAAGAGCUCGUAGGUGGUUAAGAAAGUUGGUGGUGAAAUCCCAAGGCUUAACCUUGGAACUGCCACCGAAACUUUUUGACUAGAGUAUGAUAGAGGUAAGUGGAAUUUCUAGUGUAGAGGUGAAAUUCGUAGAUAUUAGAAAGAACACCGAUUGCGAAGGCAACUUUCUGGAUCAUUACUGACACUGAGGAGCGAAAGCAUGGGUAGCGAAGAGGAUUAGAUACCCUCGUAGUCCAUGCUGUAAACGAUGUGUGCUAGAUGUUGGGAAUUUAAUUUUCAGUGUCGCAGCAAAAGCAUUAAGCACACCGCCUGGGGAGUACGACCGCAAGGUUAAAACUCAAAUGAAUUGACGGGGACCCGCACAAGCAGUGGAGCAUGUGGUUUAAUUCGAAGAUACGCGCAGAACCUUACCAACACUUGACAUGUUCGUCGCGACUCUAAGAGAUUAGAGUCAUCGGUUCGGCCGGACGAAACACAGGUGCUGCAUGGCUGUCGUCAGCUCGUGUCGUGAGAUGUUGGGUUAAGUCCCGCAACGAGCGCAACCCUUACUUUUAGUUGCUACCAUUUAGUUGGGCACUCUAAAAGAACUGCCAGUGAUAAGCUGGAGGAAGGUGGGGAUGACGUCAA